rnacentral:rRNA from 1 species
AUACGUAGGGUGCAAGCGUUAAUCGGAAUUACUGGGCGUAAAGCGUGCGCAGGCGGUUUUGUAAGACAGUGGUGAAAUCCCCGGGCUCAACCUGGGAACUGCCAUUGUGACUGCAAGGCUGGAGUGCGGCAGAGGGGGAUGGAAUUCCGCGUGUAGCAGUGAAAUGCGUAGAUAUGCGGAGGAACACCGAUGGCGAAGGCAGUCCCCUGGGCCUGUACUGACGCUCAUGCACGAAAGCGUGGGGAGCAGACAGGAUUAGAUACCCUGGUAGUCCACGCCCUAAACGAUGUCAACUGGUUGUUGGGUCUUCAUUGACUCAGUAACGAAGCUAACGCGUGAAGUUGACCGCCUGGGGAGUACGGCCGCAAGGUUGAAACUCAAAUGAAUUGACGGGG